UGGGGAAUUUUGGACAAUGGGCGAAAGCCUGAUCCAGCAAUGCCGCGUGUGUGAAGAAGGCCUUCGGGUUGUAAAGCACUUUUGUCCGGAAAGAAAUCCUUGGCUCUAAUACAGUCGGGGGAUGACGGUACCGGAAGAAUAAGCACCGGCUAACUACGUGCCAGCAGCCGCGGUAAUACGUAGGGUGCAAGCGUUAAUCGGAAUUACUGGGCGUAAAGCGUGCGCAGGCGGUUUGCUAAGACCGAUGUGAAAUCCCCGGGCUCAACCUGGGAACUGCAUUGGUGACUGGCAGGCUAGAGUAUGGCAGAGGGGGGUAGAAUUCCACGUGUAGCAGUGAAAUGCGUAGAGAUGUGGAGGAAUACCGAUGGCGAAGGCAGCCCCCUGGGCCAAUACUGACGCUCAUGCACGAAAGCGUGGGGAGCAAACAGGAUUAGAUACCCUGGUAGUCCGCGCCCUAAACGAUGUCAACUAGUUGUUGGGGAUUCAUUUCCUUAGUAACGUAGCUAACGCGUGAAGUUGACCGCCUGGGGAGUACGGUCGCAAGAUUAAAACUC
rnacentral:rRNA from 1 species